rnacentral:rRNA from 1 species
AGUAACCUGCCUUGGAGUGGGGAAUAACAGCUGGAAACAGCUGCUAAUACCGCAUGAUGCAGUUGGGUCGCAUGGCUCUGACUGCCAAAGAUUUAUCGCUCUGAGAUGGACUCGCGUCUGAUUAGCUAGUUGGCGGGGCAACGGCCCACCAAGGCGACGAUCAGUAGCCGGACUGAGAGGUUGGCCGGCCACAUUGGGACUGAGACACGGCCCAGACUCCUACGGAAGGCAGCAG